rnacentral:lncRNA from 1 species
GGCCCUUGGUAGGAACGUCGGCUCCGGAUGAACACAUUUGGAGACGACGUUUGCCAGAGAAUCGCUCCCCCCUUUCUGCAGACGUUAGGCAAUAUUCCUCCGCUUUGUCUUCAUUUCCAGGAAGAGAAGGCGAUGCCAUUAUGGAAUCAUUUUUCCUCCCGCCUCGGCCGAUAGAUAAAUAAGGGUUUCCAGGAAAGAAGAUGCGCCCAAAGCGUCCCCCAUUUCUCGCGAGGAAAACCACAGGCGAGCUCGUCCUGCAGGGCUGGGCUGGGCUGGGCUGGGCUGGGGGAGGAGGGGGCCACACGAGCGGCUCAGCUCCCUGCCUGGGCCCGGAGCAGAGUGGCGAGGGGAUUGUUGCAGCUGUCUUACUUUAACAAGUCUGAUGGAGGAGGCACUGAGACAGUAAGUGACUUUUUCCCCGUUUCCUUCAAAAGUCAGGUGUUAAAAAGCAAAGGAGUUCUUCCAGGACGGCCCGCUGUUUCUUCUGUCUCCCAGAGGAGGCGGUGGGCAUCCCCUUGGUCUGAGGGCAGCUCUGCUCUGCCUGCCUCACUUCUCCUUCCUCCCUACUCCCCGGCUUGCCAGAAAGCCCUGUCAUUCCUGCCAGGUCUUUGAGUCAACCCAUCAACCCUUGAGGUGCAGAGAACUGACUCCACUUCCUCACCAUGGCGAUGCUCUGGCUCCAGGUUAGGCGUCCAUGACGUCUGGUAAAGAUCUACCCAACCCUUGGGUUUGUAUGGCUUCCCUUGACGCUAACACACUAAGGGUAGGUCGUUAAAGUUCUUUCUAAGAAAUGCUUUUCUUCAGUGGUAAAGAGAAAAGAAGAGUUCCUUUAGGUUAAGGGUCCGGAUGGAGAGUGAAGGACGGGGAGGCCGCCGCUCUAAGGCACUGCACAGUGCUGGUGUCAGGGCUGCAGCAUCAGCUGCCCGCCGGGUGGGCCCUCCUGGCUGGCAGCACACUGCCUCCGGGGAGCCUCCAGGUAGAGGUGAGAGAGGGGCUGGGGGUGUGGUGGCCGGCGAGGUGACCCCCACCUGCUGUGCUCUGGGGUGGAG